UACGUAGGGUGCAAGCGUUAAUCGGAAUUACUGGGCGUAAAGCGUGCGCAGGCGGCUUUGCAAGACAGAUGUGAAAUCCCCGGGCUCAACCUGGGAACUGCAUUUGUGACUGCAUGGCUGGAGUGCGGCAGAGGGGGAUGGAAUUCCGCGUGUAGCAGUGAAAUGCGUAGAUAUGCGGAGGAACACCGAUGGCGAAGGAAAUCCCCUGGGACUGCACUGACGCUCAUGCACGAAAGCGUGGGGAGCAAACAGG
rnacentral:rRNA from 1 species